UUUUUUUUUUGUCUUUUUGUCUUUUUGCCAUUUCUUGGGCCACUGCUGCGGUAUAUGGAUGUUCCCAGGCUAGGGGUCUAAUCGGAGCUGUAGCUGCUGGCCUAUGCCAGAGCCACAGCAAUGCCAGAUCCGAGACGUGUCUGCAACCUACACCACAGCUCACGGCAAUGCCAGAUCCUUAACCCACUGAGCAAGGCCAGGGAUCGAACCCGCAACCUCAUGGUUAUAGUCGGAUUUUUUAACCACUGAGCCACGACGGGAACUCCUGUUUGUAGUUCUAAAAGAGGGCAAUAUUGAAGGUUUUUUAAAACGUUCAAAUAUUGGAGCCGCAGUAAAAUCCUGCUUCUAACAACAUGCAGGGGAAAUGGAAAAGCAGUGAUGGGCAGAACUGUCCCAGGGAGAAGAGCACAGGAGUAUGAAAUGUGAGAGGUUUCUCCUUGGUGAUGCAGGGUCCAAGCAAGUCAGGGCUUCUGAAGGAGGCUGCCUUCAAGGGCUCUGACUUGCAUGCCCUGUGGGCCAAAGCCUGCUUUAGCCACAAGUGUACUAUGCACAGACUGAAAAGGAAAUUCAAGAACAGAGAGAAUGUCGAGUGUGUGGCCGCUGCCAAGAAUGAGAGCCAGAAUCUCCUAGUCAGGCUGCUGCUCGGCCUUUCCUUGUCACGAGGGUGGAGCCCGGCCAGGUGAACCGACCUGACCACCUCCCUGUGUCUGGCUUGUGGAAGCAUGUCCUUGCAGGGCUCUUCAUGGUUCCUCCUCAGCCUGAGGACGCCCAUUGUCACCAAGCCAAGUUGGCAGGCAAAGUUCCUGUCCCACGCAGACACACAGUUUGCAGCUUCCUUGGGAGGGCGACGGGGGUUGGAAGUGGCUCUCUCCAAGCAUUUUCAUCUUAUUUUCGCUUACAAUGCCCAUCCAGCCAGUCCGCAUUGCAUAUGCUCUUUGAGGUCAAGAGGCUUGCAGUAGAAGGUUCUAGGAUGGAGCCACACAGUGUUACUUCAGGCUCAGCACUUGGGCUUAGACUCAAGCUGACUAGGACUGCUAACCAUACCUUGCCUAAUGUCAGGCUGGCCACUAUUGUACGGGGAUGGCAGGCACUAGAGGGGAAGAAUAUUGGCUAAAGGACUUUUGAUGUGCAGGAACUUCCAAAGGGCAAGGUCAGAGCCCUGACUCCUUAGCCAACUCUUGGCCAUAGUCUCCUCAAGAGUAACAUGGGGACAGGACAAGACAAUUUCUAUAGCCCUUUAUGGCUCUGACAUUCUGAGAUAGUAAAGUGAAGAUAAACGUAGGCUGCCACUGUUUAAAAGCCACGUUCUAAGAGGAAAGGGGGAAAGCUAGACCCACUGAAAGUCCUCUCUCUCCUGCUAGGGUCAUAGCACAAGACCUGGAAGUGAUAUAAAUCUCUUCUCGCAUCUUAGAGGGCCCUGACGCAGUGAGCACCUUGUUUAUGGUGCUGGGCGUGGCCAUAAGGCUGAACAUCAGCAUGGAGUCCUGGGUUCCCUUUGCCUUGUACUGACAGGAAACCCAAGGCUCACUUAAAUUCAGGAACUACUUCCCACCUGCCACCACAUGUAGGAUACCAUAUGGAGGACACUGGGUAGUAGGAAAUAUGGUCUCCACCCUCAAGGAGAUUUCUAGCUAACCUGAGCUUCUUUAGCUACACAUCACUCCUCCUUUUGCUUUACUUCUUUACUUUUUUUUCCUUUACUUUUUUCUUUUUACUCCUUUACUUCCAGGCCUUUGUACAUGUUAUGCCCUUGGCCUGAAACACUCUCUUUAUCCCGCUAUUGCUAGGACUUCUAUGGGGAGCAAUGCAGGUUGCAUACUGCAUAAUUCCAGACCACCUUACUUAGAUGUGAAUCAUGCCCUCAGAAAUGCACAGUGAACAACCUGUACAGCUGAACUGCAUGGCUUUGACUGCCACCUCCACCUCAUUUCUCCUAACUGGGGGUAACUCACAGCCAUCUCAGUUUUCAACAUAGUCACUACCUUUCCUUCUUUCCUUCUUCCUCUCCUCUUUCCCUCUCUCCCUUUCUUCCUAUAUCUCACAAUUUCUGAGCACCUACUAUAUGUCAGGACUGUGCAAGGAGUGGGUAUACAGUUGUACCAAAACAGAUAAGGUCCACUUCCCUCUUGUGAAGUAUUUAUAUUCUUCUUCCUCCAGGAAGCCUUCCCUUACUGCACCCAUGAUUGAAUCUAGUGCCUACUGAUUGACUGGGGACCUUUUACUUAGAACACAGUGACUCUGGUCUGGAGAGAAUCUGAGAAGGACAAGCAGGGUUGAGGAGACUAACCUGAAGCCCUGAAACUGACGGUGCUGGUGCUCCAUCCCUUCCAGCUUCCUGUCCUUGGGAGCACCCUGGGGGCAUCUGUGAAGCUCAUUAGUGAAGCAGCGAUUAACGUGAGGCCCAGAGCAUGGCUUCCCCCUGCCAGGGAAGCCACAAAGUUCCAGAACAUCCUAGGGAGGAAUGGAGCACCACCCAGGCCUGCCUCCUGGGGCUGCAAAACAAUCCCUAAUGAGUCCUCUCCAGGGGAGGGUGAAGUCACCUGCAAGGAGGCCGCUAAGCCUCAGGUGUUCUCCAGGAGGCUUAAAAUAGCCGGGUUCCCUCCACAAACACCUUCCAACACUGUUUAGGAUGGUGAAUGCCAGGAAACUAAUGAAUCUGAGCUUAGAGAAUUAAUUGUUGAUGAAAUAAUGUGAAUAGUGUGCUUCCUGUUCAUCAGUCUCUACAGAAAUUAAUUAGCCCUGCUUGGCAGCGAGCAGGAUCAAAUUUUCGACUUAAUUUAUGAAUUUGGCCAAAUUGUCUAUGGGAAGUCUUGCCUGGAGGACCUUCCGUGGCUGCUUCGUGUCCAGACAGGCCUUGCCUUUCGUAGAAGACAUGACUGCUUUAAGAGAGUCCCAACAAGAGAGGAGGAUGGUGGAGGAGGGCAGAGGGGAAGGUUUGAGCUUUGACUGUGAAGCUCGAUGUAGACCUGCACUUCCCCAGUCUUCCUGCCUCAGCCCUCUCUCCCCGCUGGACCCUUCAUCUGAACAAGGUCUGUUAGCUUGAACAGAGCAGCGAUGACUCAAAGCAACGGGCCUGACUUUCAGGCAUGGCCUGACUUCACAUUUAAUUAUUCUGUGCUGUGUGCACUAACUCAAAUUGCAGGAUGAUGGGAAAGAAAAAUAAAUCCAAUGAGCAGUGGGGUGGGUUUUUUUUUUUUUUUUAACUAUUUUAAAAUAGGGAGAAGGGAAGGAACUUCUUGGGCCUGGUGGGAUCAAUUUGAGGAACAGGCUGGCACAAGGCAUGAAUUAACACCUUGGUCCUAUAUGCCCAGGAAUGAAGCACAGACCUGCUGGCUAUGGAGUGUUCUGUCAGCUUUUGUCACCACAGGAGUCAGACUCUCUGACUGCAGCCUGUACUGAUUGGAAUCCCAACCAGACUUUCCCCACUGAGCAGCAGAAUCUGAUGUACACCUAUCAGCAGAAUGACUUGAGUGUCGCCAGUCUCUGAAACAUUUCAGACAGAGUGAAUGACUGAGUACCUGUGUGUGUACAUGCUUUUUUAUGUUGCUGAAACACCAGUUUUCUCAUGAAAAAGCCUGAGAGCCAGUGAGUUAAAACAGGGGCACAGGGGAUAAGGGGAUGUGGUACGAUCUAACUGAACACCUCUGGCCAGCCUCAGGAGUCAGGAAAGGAUGAGCCCUUGGGGUCAUUUCCACUCCUUAGAAUUAUUCAGUAAUUCACACGGCAUUCUAGGCAGGGGGGAUACAUCAGGGAACCAGGUAAUCAAGGCCAUGCUCCCAUGAAGCUUAUUUUCUCUUAGGAGCACAGACACAAGUUAUCAGCAUCUGGUUUCUGAUUCUGUUAAAACGUAGGCUUGUUAACACUUAAUUACAGACCACAUUACUAAACUCUGAGUUCUUGUAUUAGUUUCUGUUUUUAAAACAAAAUGCACAUUGCCUAGUAGACACAUACACUAUCACCUCCCUUGCACACUUGGCUAUUUAAAUUCCUUUUUGUACCAAUGCCCUCAAAUUUAGUCCUGAAUGGUUGUGAUCCUCCAAAGGGAGCCAGGAUCAGCAGCCGAUUCAGGGUGUAGUAAGCAGGGGAAGAAGCCUGUUUGCCCAUGACAUUGGCCAUGGGGGGUGAUCGCUUGGGUCCCUGAGAGGCACACCCUCGUAGGUCUGGGUUCCCUGAGAAUUAAAUCGGCUCAGGCUGCAUAGGAGGACUCACUUGGGCACUGACCUGCUGCGAUGGUCAGGAAGAGCAUCUUAGAGAGAGAAUGUUGGAACCCGAGCAAGUGCCUAACCUCCUCCCUGUAGGCGUUUGCAGCUGCAACCAGACCACCCUUCCCUUUAGGAAUUUGUGAUGUUAUUACCAGCUCGCUCUGUGACCUCAGGCUGUGUCUGCCCUUUGCUUACCUUUGUUCUCCAACUGCCAGGUAUGUAAUUCCAUGGUUCCCUCAGGUAGCUUCUGGGGAGAGGGUAGAUUGCAUAAACAAAGGUGUGUGAGGGACAGCGCCAGCCUGAGAGCUAGGCAAAGCAGUGGGAUGUGCUGGAGAACCGAAGCGCGCGGUCUUCCUUCAGCCCAGGUUUCCGCUCAACUGAGUCACUGCUCCUUAAUGAAUGUCCUUUGCUUUCUUCUCCUCAAGUUACCUGAACUGCUAUUCCCCAGUUUCGCAGGCUGAAUGCCUCUCAGGCCCCACUCACAUGCUAGCCCACCUCCCAAAGGAAGUCAUUUUCAUUUCUUCCUCCUUUCUGGCCUCACACAGCUCUUGAAAUGCAGCCAUUUGUGUGUUAUCUCGCCUACAAAUGUCAAAGUCCUCAAAGGAAAAUCUGUGCAUUCUCAACUUUUUUUUUUUUUUUUUUGGUCCCCUAUAGUCUUCACACUGAAGAGGGACUCAGUACGUGUUUAUUCUGUGUCUAUUCCACCCUGGGAACAUUCAUGGACAAAUUACUGUUUAUAGCAAAUGAUGAGAUUUAAUGAAAGAGGUCUGAAUGUGAAGGCCAAUUGUGCUGAAUAUUCAAAAUUUUCUCUGUGCCGAAAGCAAAUAAGGAGAGUGAUCCUCUUUGGUGUCCCAUCACCCAGAAAUGUGAUUUAGUAACAAGGCUCUCCAUCUUCCCCCACCCUUCAUUCUUUCUGCAUUUUAUAUAUUACUCCAGCAUAGACAGAGACCAGGGGGUGAUAGUGAGGGCCAGGAGACCAGGGUUCAAAUCCCAGCUGUGCCCCUUACUAGCUAAAGGC
rnacentral:lncRNA from 1 species